rnacentral:tRNA from 1 species
GCCGAGGUGGUGGAAUGGUAGACACGCCUGUCUUAGGAGCAGGUCCCGUAAGGGGUGGGGGUUCAAGUCCCCCCUUCGGCACCA